GACGAACGCUGGCGGCGUGCCUAAUACAUGCAAGUCGAGCGGAUGGAAGGAAGCUUGCUUCCUAAAGUCAGCGGCGGACGGGUGAGUAACACGUGGGCAACCUGCCCCUAAGAUCGGGAUAACUUCGGGAAACCGGAGCUAAUACCGGAUAUGAUUAUGUCUCACAUGAGACAUAAUGGAAAGACGGUUUCGGCUGUCACUUAGGGAUGGGCCCGCGGCGCAUUAGCUAGUUGGUGAGGUAACGGCUCACAAAGGCGACGAUCCGUAACUGGUCUGAGAGGAGACCCAGUCACACGGAAACGAAGACACGGUCCAGACUCCAACGGGAGGCAGCAGGGGGGAAUAUUGGACAAUGGGCGAAAGCCUGAUCCAGCCAGGCCGCGUGUGUGAAGAAGGUCUUCGGAUUGAAAAGCCCUUUAAGUCGGGAGGAAGGACUGUAGGCUAAUACCUUGCAGUUUUGACGUUACCGACAGAAUAAGCACCGGCUAACUUCGUGCCAGCAGCCGCCGUAAUAC
rnacentral:rRNA from 1 species